GUUGAGUACACUAGGAACAACAACAACAACAACAACAACAACCAAAAAAUCCAAAAUAAAGUGACACAGUAUCUAAAAAGAUAAUACAGAUCAUUUUUUUACUGUAGUUAGUUAAUAGAACAUGAAAGAAGUUCAUUUCAGCUAAAUAAAACCUCACUAUCAGUUUCAGAAACCAUGGAAACAAGUUCUCAAUUACCAAUAUUAUAUUGUUAUGACUGAGAUAACGAGCAUUAUUCUUAAAAAUAUUUUUCAGAGUCACGCAGAAGAUGCCGAAUCACCCUGCUGCAGACAGGCAGCCACCUGGUUCCACACUACAAAGACGCAGAGGACACCAGACCACCAGACCAAGGUUCUCCUCUGCAAUGCCCCUCUGCCAAGCCACCCUGCCUUGGAACCAGCCAAUUAUGGAUUGAAACUUCUACAAAUUAGAAACCCUUGUGGAAGUCUGCACUGGG
ensembl:lncRNA